UGUCCUGAUCCAACAUCGAGGUCGCAAACUUUUUCUCUUAUAAGAACUAAAAGAAAAAAUUACGCUGUUAUCCCUAAGGUAAUUUUUUCUUUUAAUCAAUAAAAUUGGAUCAUAAAAUCACUUAUUUAUGUUUAUUAUUAAAAAAAGUUUAUUUUAUUUUUUUAUCACCCCAACAAAAUAUUAAACAAAAUUUAUAAAUAAAUAAAUUUUAUAAAUAACUUAAAUUUACACUUAAUAUUAAACUCUAUAGGGUCUUCUCGUCUUUUUAAUUUAUUUUAACUUUUUAAUUAAAAAAUUAAUUUCAAUUAAUUAUUUUUGAGACAGAUUAUAUUUCAUCAAAUCCUUCAUACAAGUCACUAAUUAAGAGACUAAUGAUUAUGCUACCUUUGCACAA
rnacentral:rRNA from 1 species